AAGGGACAAAGUUUAGCCAAUCAAACCAGAACCUUACAAUCUCAUCACAUGGGCUUUAUUGCCUGUUUUAUGACCUCACUUCAGGCACUGAGGCCACCGGAUCCCAUCACAUGACGUAGAUCUACUUCCAGCUGGGCUCCAUGCCAGAAGUGAGGUGAAACGAUCGCAAGAGGCAAUGCCAGGAACAUGGGAAACUUCUCGUGUUCCAUAGAGUAGAAUGGGGGGAAAUCAGGCAGCAACGCUUCACCCCUUGGGAUGAGACCCAUCUGAAAAAGCCCAUUUGGUAUUGCCCUAAAUUCCCAGAAUCUACUCUGCAAUCACCUGGAGUAAGCGUAGAUGUGGCAACACCAUUCACUGAAAUCCACAAGCUUUACAACCCAUUUUCUGAGAUAUGAAGUUGAAGGCAGUAGUUACUGGAACUCUCCAGGAUACGGUCUGUACCAGGGAACAGUGUCCUUCCAGUCAAUAGUUCAGCCAUAAUGCAUCCAACUGACCAAAUAUCAACUGAGGAAAAGCCACAAUAAACUGAAGAUUCACCCAUUACUUCCAAAGGUCUGAAUCAAUCUCUAGUCAAUUCCUUGAGAAAAUCCUAAAAUCUGAAGAUCUACAAGAUGUCUCUGAAACCAAUACCUGUAAUAGAAAAUACUAGGAGAUUUAUAAUUUUCAUUGCACAGGACACAAGAAAUAAAACUUAAAUAGAAGUCAGAAAUUCAUGAAAUAAUUUAAAAUUGGGGUUGUUUUUUGUUUUUUUAAUGACUAUUCAGAAUGUAAAUUUUAUUAGCCUUUAAUAUGAAUGAAGAACUGAAACUGAAAUUUAGAAUAACACUAUGUAACAAAAUUUGAAAAAAAAAUCUGUUCCUGGUUUGAAAGUGUUGUUUCCUGUUUAAUUGUGGUGGUACUUAAUUUAAAAGUAGUGAUUAUACUCUAGAAACCUCGCUUGUGUGGCUGCCAAAAACUCUGAGAUAUUCACUGAAAAACUAAAGCAAAAUGUGUUGCAGGAUGUCCCAGAAAAACAAAGUUUUUGAAGUUUAAUAAACUUUUUUUAUGUUUUUAUGAUAGGCUCAAUUAGAAAAUGGCAUUUAUAACUCAGGGAAAUAAAUUGUGUUACAUAGUGCAAUACAUUACUUCCCUUGAAUCUUUGUAUCUUUUGGUACUAAAAUUUAGUACAACCACCACCUAU